UGGGGAAUUUUACGCAAUGGGGGAAACCCUGACGUAGCGACACCGCGUGAACGAAGAAGCCUCUUGGGGUGUAAAGUUCUGUCGGCUGGAACGAAAAAAAUGACGGUACCAGCAAAGGAAGCAUCGGCUAACUACGUGCCAGCAGCCGCGGUAAGACGUAGGAUGCAAGCGUUGUCCGGAUUUAUUGGGCGUAAAGAGUUCGUAGGCGGUUUGUUAAGUCUGAUGUUAAAGACUGAGGCUCAACCUUGGGAGUGCAUUGGAUACUGGCAGACUGGAGUAUGGUAGAGGCGAGUGGAAUUCCCAGUGUAGCGGUGAAAUGCGUAGAUAUUGGGAAGAACACCGGUGGCGUAAGCGACUCGCUGGGCCAUAACUGACGCUGAGGAACGAAAGCCAGGGGAGCAAAUGGGAUUAGAUACCCCCGUAGUCC
rnacentral:rRNA from 1 species